AACAUUACCGGGGUGCUAUAAUGCAGUCGAACGCACUGACGUCGACCGAAGCUGCUUGCAGUGGACGUUGAUUGACGAGAGUGGCGGACGGGUGAGUAACACGUGGGUAACCUACCCUUAAGUGGGGGAUAACAUUUGGAAACAGAUGCUAAUACCGCAUAACCAUUCAGACCACAUGGUCUGAAUGUAAAAGACGGCCUUUGGCUGUCACUUUUGGACGGACCCGCGGCGUAUUAGUUAGUUGGUAAGGUAACGGCUUACCAAGACAAUGAUACGUAGCCGACCUGAGAGGGUAAUCGGCCACAUUGGGACUGAGACACGGCCCAAACUCCUACGGGAGGCAGCAGUAGGGAAUCUUCCACAAUGGACGAAAGUCUGAUGGAGCAACGCCGCGUGAGUGAAGAAGGUUUUAGGAUCGUAAAACUCUGUUGUUGGAGAAGAACAGGGACUAGAGUAACUGUUAGUCCUUUGACGGUAUCCAACCAGAAAGCCACGGCUAACUACGUGCCAGCAGCCGCGGUAAUACGUAGGUGGCAAGCGUUGUCCGGAUUUAUUGGGCGUAAAGCGAGCGCAGGCGGUUUUUUAAGUCUGAUGUGAAAGCCUUCGGCUUAACCGAAGAAGUGCAUUAGAAACUGGGAAACUUGAGUGCAGAAGAGGACAGUGGAACUCCAUGUGUAGCGGUGAAAUGCGUAGAUAUAUGGAAGAACACCAGUGGCGAAGGCGGCUGUCUGGUCUGUAACUGACGCUGAGGCUCGAAAGUAUGGGGAGCGAACAGGAUUAGAUACCCUAAGUAGUCCA
rnacentral:rRNA from 1 species